UACAUGGUGUGUUGAAGAUUUUUCAAAUA
rnacentral:piRNA from 1 species